AAUCGCUAGUAAUCGCGUAACAGCAUGACGCGGUGAAUACGUUCCCGGGCCUUGUACACACCGCCCGUCACACCAUGGGAAUUGGAUCUACCCGAAGGUGGUGCGCCAACCAGCAAUGGAGGCAGCCAACCACGGUGGGUUCAGUGACUGGGGUGAAGUCGUAACAAGGUAGCCGUAGGGGAACCUGCGGCUGGAUCACCUCCUUUCUAAGG
rnacentral:rRNA from 1 species